rnacentral:rRNA from 1 species
UACGAGGGGGCAAGCGUUGUUCGGAAUUAUUGGGCCUAAAGCAUCCGUAGCCGGUUCUACAAGUCUUCCGUUAAAUCCACCUGCUUAACAGAUGGGCUGCGGAGGAUACUAUGGAGCUAGGAGGCGGGAGAGGCAAGCGGUACUUAGUGGGUAGGGGUAAAAUCCGUUGAUCCAUUGAAGACCACCAGUGGCGAAGGCGGCUUGCCAGAACGCACUCGACGGUGAGGGAUGAAAGCUGGGGGAAGCAAACCGGG